AACGCUGGCGGCGUGCUUAACACAUGCAAGUCGAACGGAAAGGCCCUGCCUUUGUGGGGUGCUCGAGCGGCGAACGGGUGAGUAACACGUGAGUAACCUGCCCUUGACUUUGGGAUAACUUCAGGAAACUGGGGCUAAUACCGGAUAGGAGCUCCUGCUGCAUGGUGGGGGUUGGAAAGUUUCGGCGGUUGGGGAUGGACUCGCGGCUUAUCAGCUUGUUGGUGGGGUAGUGGCUUACCAAGGCUUUGACGGGUAGCCGGCCUGAGAGGGUGACCGGCCACAUUGGGACUGAGAUACGGCCCAGACUCCUACGGGAGGCAGCAGUGGGGAAUAUUGCACAAUGGGCGGAAGCCUGAUGCAGCAACGCCGCGUGCGGGAUGACGGCCUUCGGGUUGUAAACCGCUUUCGCCUGUGACGAAGCGUGAGUGACGGUAAUGGGUAAAGAAGCACCGGCUAACUACGUG
rnacentral:rRNA from 1 species